AUUGAACGCUGGCGGUAUGCUUAAGACAUGCAAGUCGAACGGUAACAGACCUUCGGGUGCUGACGAGUGGCGGACGGGUGAGUAACACGUGGGAAUCUACCUUGUAGUGGGGGAUAAGCCAGGGAAACUUGGACUAAUACCGCAUACGCCCUAAGGGGAAAGGAGUAAUUCGCUAUAAGAUGAGCCCGCGUCUGAUUAGCUAGUUGGUGAGGUAAAGGCUCACCAAGGCGACGAUCAGUAGCUGGUCUGAGAGGAUGACCAGCCACAUUGGGACUGAGACACGGCCCAGACUCCUACGGGAGGCAGCAGUCGGGAAUAUUGGACAAUGGGGGCAACCCUGAUCCAGCAAUACCGCGUGUGUGAAGAAGGCCUGCGGGUUGUAAAGCACUUUUAGUAGGGAAGAUAAUGACGUUACCUACAGAAAAAGCACCGGCUAACUCCGUG
rnacentral:rRNA from 1 species